GGCCAAUCUCUCUCUCUCUCUCUCUCUCUCUCUCUCUCUCUCUCUCUCUCUCUCUCUAUCUCUAUCUCCCUAUGCAGUCUUCCACCAGCCAGCUCCUCUCUGUUCUUUGUGUCCAAUCUCUCUCUCUCUCUCUCUCUCUCUCUCUCUCUCUCUCUCUCUCUCUCUCUCUCUCUCUCUCUCU